CGCAGCCGCGGUAAUUCCAGCUCCAAUAGCGUAUAUUAAAGUUGUUGCAGUUAAAAAGCUCGUAGUUGAACUUCGGGGUCUACCCAUUGGUCAGGCUUAAUUGUCUGCACUGGUGAGAUGGAUCUCUACCUUCUGAGGAACUUUCAUGCCAUUUAUUUAGUGUGAUGGGAAAUCAGGACUGUUACUUUGAAAAAAUUAGAGUGUUUAAAGCAGACUAUCGUCUGAAUACAUUAGCAUGGAAUAAUGAAAUAGGACGGACUGAUUCUAUUUCGUUGGUUUCUAGGAUCACCGUAAUGAUUAAUAGGGAUAGUUGGGGGCAUUAGUAUUCAAUUGUCAGAGGUGAAAUUCUUGGAUUUAUUGAAGACUAACUACUGCGAAAGCAUUUGCCAAGGAUGUUUUCAUUAAUCAAGAACGAAAGUUAGGGGAUCGAAGACGAUCAGAUACCGUCGUAGUCUUAACCAUAAACUAUGCCGACUAGGGAUCGGACGAAGUUAAUUUUAUAAUGACGCG
rnacentral:rRNA from 1 species